UACGUAGGGUGCAAGCGUUAAUCGGAAUUACUGGGCGUAAAGCGUGCGCAGGCGGUUCGCUAAGACAGAUGUGAAAUCCCCGGGCUUAACCUGGGAACUGCAUUUGUGACUGGCGGGCUAGAGUAUGGCAGAGGGGGGUAGAAUUCCACGUGUAGCAGUGAAAUGCGUAGAGAUGUGGAGGAAUACCGAUGGCGAAGGCGCGAGCCCCCA
rnacentral:rRNA from 1 species